AUUGAACGCUGGCGGCAGGCCUAACACAUGCAAGUCGAGCGGUAGAGAGGUGCUUGCAUCUCUUGAGAGCGGCGGACGGGUGAGUAAUGCCUAGGAAUCUGCCUAGUGGUGGGGGAUAACGUUCGGAAACGGACGCUAAUACCGCAUACGUCCUACGGGAGAAAGCGGGGGAUCUUCGGACCUCGCGCCAUUAGAUGAGCCUAGGUCGGAUUAGCUAGUUGGUGAGGUAAUGGCUCACCAAGGCGACGAUCCGUAACUGGUCUGAGAGGAUGAUCAGUCACACUGGAACUGAGACACGGUCCAGACUCCUACGGGAGGCAGCAGUGGGGAAUAUUGGACAAUGGGCGAAAGCCUGAUCCAGCCAUGCCGCGUGUGUGAAGAAGGUCUUCGGAUUGUAAAGCACUUUAAGUUGGGAGGAAGGGUAGUAACCUAAUACAAUUGCUACUUUGACGUUACCGACAGAAUAAGCACC
rnacentral:rRNA from 1 species